UACCAGCACCCCGAGUGGUCGGGACGUUUAUUGGGCCUAAAGCGUCCGUAGCCGGUUCUACAAGUCUUCCGUUAAAUCCAACUGCUUAACAGGUGGGCUGCGGAAGAUACUAUAGAGCUAGGAGGCGGGAGAGGCAAGCGGUACUCGAUGGGUAGGGGUAAAAUCCGUUGAUCCAAUGAAGACCACCAGUGGCGAAGGCGGCUUGCCAGAACGCGCUCGACGGUGAGGGAUGAAAGCUGGGGGAGCAAACCGG
rnacentral:rRNA from 1 species